GCAGUGAGGAAUAUUGGACAAUGGGUGAAAGCCUGAUCCAGCCAUCCCGCGUGAAGGACGACGGUUCUAUGGAUUGUAAACUUCUUUUAUAUAGGGAUAAACCUCUUUACGUGUAGAGAGCUGAAGGUACUAUAUGAAUAAGCACCGGCUAACUCCGUGCCAGCAGCCGCGGUAAUACGGAGGGUGCAAGCGUUAUCCGGAUUUAUUGGGUUUAAAGGGUCCGUAGGCGGAUCUGUAAGUCAGUGGUGAAAUCUCAUAGCUUAACUAUGAAACUGCCAUUGAUACUGCAGGUCUUGAGUAAAGUAGAAGUGGCUGGAAUAAGUAGUGUAGCGGUGAAAUGCAUAGAUAUUACUUAGAACACCAAUUGCGAAGGCAGGUCACUAUGUUUUAACUGACGCUGAUGGACGAAAGCGUGGGGAGCGAACAGGAUUAGA
rnacentral:rRNA from 1 species